AAUCUUUAGUGUUGUGAGCCCUUAAAAGGGACAGAAAUUUUGCACUCGGGGAGCUCAGAUUUUAAGACAGUAGCUUGCUGAUGCUCCCAGCUGAAUAAAGCCCUUCCUUCUACAACUCGGUGUCUGAGGGGUUUUGUCUGCAGCUCGUCCUGCUACAAUGGUGGUUCCUUUAUAGGAUAUUCAUGAUUCCCUACCUUGAAUCAAUGCCGCCAUCUUCCUUUUAACUCAGGGACUAUGAGAUACACAGGUCUUCAAUGCCAGUCACCUCAUGGACUCACCACCUAGUUUAUCAAGGAGAAGUUGAUGCUGGGAGCAACUACAAAAAUGAAGCUACUCUGAUUUAGCCAAAAAGAUUCUCCAUUCUAAGGACUCCUGUGAUUUGAUUGGGAGCCUCUACAUCAUUCAGGAGAAUCCUCUGACCUCAAGUUCUGUAACCUGAAUCACAUCAUAAGUCUGCCCCUAUUCUGUGCCCACAACAGACUUCAGCUGGCAGAGCAACACAAGCAGCUGAAUAUCAAGAGGUGAAGAAGCAACUGGGCAUCUGAGACUAUGGAUAGAUGCGACUUAACUUCAGACGGCACAACUUUGGAGAGGAGCCCAGAUGGAGACGACCAGGCUUCAAGGAAAGAUCACCUUCUUCUUGCACCCCCCUUUCAGCUCCCCUUCUGCUGAGAGCUACUUCCACUGCCUAAUAAAAUCCUCUGCAUCAUCACCUUUCAAACCAUUCGUGCGACCUGAUUCUUCCUGGAUGCCGAACAAGAACCUGGGAACCAAGAGGGCAGAGUAUUAGGCUGUCACCCUGACUCUCCACUAAGCUGGUUAACACUUAGCUGCCAUGGACAGCAACUCCUAAAAGAGCAUUAAUUUUAUCACACCCCUAGACGCUGCCAGGGGGCUGGAGCCCAAAAGCAUUUGCCCCAGCUCCAACACCCACUUGCCUGUGUGCUCCCUCCCGUGAGGGGUUGAGCCCAGUGGGUUUGAGUGAGUGAAGUUCAUCCCUGUUGGCAGCAAAGUGGCAGGCUGAACCCAGAGCCAGUGCACUCUAGUUCCCAUCUGCAAAAGGGUCAAAGGAACUCUCCUGUCUCAACAACAUAUUACUGACUAACACAAGCAUCUUAUGCCUGGUAGCAUCAAAUUAAGCAAAGGGUAGCCCGAAUGCCAUGUCUUCACAUUUUAUUCCACUUGGAUCUCCUGUAGAAUGGCUGUUUACCAUGGAAGGGCUGAUUCCAAUUCUCACGUUAAUCACUUACAAGGCAGAAACCAGCUAGUCUAGACUGGUAAAGGGCUUUCCAGUUCAUUCAUCAGCCUCCUCUGAUUCUCUCAGGGCUCAUUCAGAUGUUCCCAAUCCUUUCACAAGAUUACAAUUCAACACAUAUGGAAGCACAAAAAAAAAUGCUGAUUUCCCCACAUAAAUAAUAAUUAAUUACUAAUGAAGAUAAUGGUGACAGACUAUGGGACUUAAGAAAAAACCUACGAGGAUGUAUCACAAGACAAAUCCUUCUAAAAAUUAAACUAUUUGCAGACAAUCAGAAAGUCAAAACUAACAAUCUCUUAAACAUUUCUCAGAUAUGGCUGUAAUAACAUAGCAUUCCUAUAAAAAUGAACUUUUAGGUUAAAUAUAUCUUUACACAUACAUGCACUUGCACCCACAUGUACACACAAUCUAUUUUUGGAUCUACUGAAUAAAGCAUCAUUAUUUAAAGUGAAGCAAUAAAAGUUUCAACGUCUUUUUUUCUAAGUAUUAGCCUUGAAGUUAUUCACCCUAACCAAA
rnacentral:lncRNA from 10 species